rnacentral:rRNA from 1 species
AAUACAGGGUGAUGGACUGCCUUUUGCAUAAUGAGCCUGCGAGUUGUGGUGUCUGGCAAGGUUAAGCAAACGCGAAGCCGUAGCGAAAGCGAGUCUGAAUAGGGCGCUUAGUCAGAUGCUGCAGACCCGAAACGAAGUGAUCUAUCCAUGAGCAAGUUGAAGCUAGUGUAAGAACUAGUGGAGGACUGAACCCAUAGGCGUUGAAAAGCCCCGGGAUGACUUGUGGAUAGGGGUGAAAGGCCAAUCAAACUUCGUGAUAGCUGGUUCUCUCCGAAAUAUAUUUAGGUAUAGCGUUGUGUCGUAAUAUAAGGGGGUAGAGCACUGAAUGGGCUAGGGCAUACACCAAUGUACCAAACCCUAUCAAACUCCGAAUACCUUAUAUGUAAUCACAGCAGUCAGGCGGCGAGUGAUAAAAUCCGUCGUCAAGAGGGAAACAACCCAGACUACCAGCUAAGGUCCCUAAAUCUUACUUAAGUGGAAAACGAUGUGAAGUUACUUAAACAACCAGGAGGUUGGCUUAGAAGCAGCCAUCCUUUAAAGAAAGCGUAAUAGCUCACUGGUCUAGUGAUUUUGCGCGGAAAAUAUAACGGGGCUAAAGUAAGUACCGAAGCUGUAGACUUGCGCACAACUUAGAUUAUUUAAGUUUAGAAUAUGAGAAACUAAGUUAUAUGUUUAGUUAUAUUUUUACUGAUUUUUAUAGAGUAAAGAUAGAAAUAAAACUUAGUAAAAUCAGUAAAAAUAUUCUUAGACUAAAGUUAAGUAGUUUAAGUUGUGUGCAAGUGGUAGGAGAGCGUUCUAUUUGCGUCGAAGGUAUACCGGUAAGGAGUGCUGGAGCGAAUAGAAGUGAGCAUGCAGGCAUGAGUAGCGAUAAUUAAUGUGAGAAUCAUUAACGCCGUAAACCCAAGGUUUCCUACGCGAUGCUCGUCAUCGUAGGGUUAGUCGGGUCCUAAGUCGAGUCCGAAAGGGGUAGACGAUGGCAAAUUGGUUAAUAUUCCAAUACCAACAUUAGUGUGCGAUGGAAGGACGCUUAGGGCUAAGGGGGCUAGCGGAUGGAAGUGCUAGUCUAAGGUCGUAGGAGGUUAUACAGGCAAAUCCGUAUAACAAUACUCCGAGAACUGAAAGGCUUUUUGAAGUCUUCGGAUGGAUAGAAGAACCCCUGAUGCCGUCGAGCCAAGAAAAGUUUCUAAGUUUAGCUAAUGUUGCCCGUACCGUAAACCGACACAGGUGGGUGGGAUGAGUAUUCUAAGGCGCGUGGAAGAACUCUCUUUAAGGAACUCUGCAAAAUAGCACCGUAUCUUCGGUAUAAGGUGUGGUUCGCUUCGUAUUAGGAUUUACUCCGAAAGCGAAGAAACUUACAACAAAGAGUCCCUCCCGACUGUUUACCAAAAACACAGCACUCUGCUAACUCGUAAGAGGAUGUAUAGGGUGUGACGCCUGCCCGGUGCUCGAAGGUUAAUUGAUGGGGUUAGCAUUAGCGAAGCUCUUGAUCGAAGCCCGAGUAAACGGCGGCCGUAACUAUAACGGUCCUAAGGUAGCGAAAUUCCUUGUCGGUUAAAUACCGACCUGCAUGAAUGGCGUAACGAGAUGGGAGCUGUCUCAAAGAGGGAUCCAGUGAAAUUGUAGUGGAGGUGAAAAUUCCUCCUACCCGCGGCAAGACGGAAAGACCCCGUGGACCUUUACUACAGCUUGACACUGCUAUUUGGAUAAGAAUGUGCAGGAUAGGUGGGAGGCUUUGAGUAUAUGACGCCAGUUGUAUAUGAGCCAUUGUUGAGAUACCACUCUUUCUUAUUUGGGUAGCUAACCAGCUUGAGUUAUCCUCAAGUGGGACAAUGUCUGGUGGGUAGUUUGACUGGGGCGGUCGCCUCCCAAAUAAUAACGGAGGCUUACAAAGGUUGGCUCAGAACGGUUGGAAAUCGUUCGUAGAGUAUAAAGGUAUAAGCCAGCUUAACUGCAAGACAUACAAGUCAAGCAGAGACGAAAGUCGGUCUUAGUGAUCCGGUGGUUCUGCGUGGAAGGGCCAUCGCUCAAAGGAUAAAAGGUACCCCGGGGAUAACAGGCUGAUCUCCCCCAAGAGCUCACAUCGACGGGGAGGUUUGGCACCUCGAUGUCGGCUCAUCGCAUCCUGGGGCUGGAGCAGGUCCCAAGGGUAUGGCUGUUCGCCAUUUAAAGCGGUACGCGAGCUGGGUUCAGAACGUCGUGAGACAGUUCGGUCCCUAUCUGCCGUGGGCGUAAGAAGAUUGAAGAGAUUUGACCCUAGUACGAGAGGACCGGGUUGAACAAACCACUGGUGUAGCUGUUGUUCUGCCAAGAGCAUCGCAGCGUAGCUAAGUUUGGAAAGGAUAAACGCUGAAAGCAUCUAAGCGUGAAGCCAACUCUAAGAUGAAUCUUCUCUAAGCUCUCUAGAAGACUACUAGUUUGAUAGGCUGGGUGUGUAAUGGAUGAAAGUCCUUUAGCUGACCAGUACUAAUAGAGCGUUUGGCUUAUCUUUAAUAAAGCAU